AGCACAGACUUGUGACAAACUGCACAUGCAAUUGAUCUCUUGGGGUGGCAGUGAAAGGAUGAACUAAGCUGGAGGAAACCUGUGUCCCUGAGUGUCUCUGGCACCCUGCAUUGUUGGUGAGUGCUCCUUGAUGUUACUAUGAGCUGACCACUGCAGAUAACUACAACUCUCAAGAAAUAGAUGCUUGGACAAUGAUUUAAGCUCUUCAAAAUGUAGAUGAUAUAGAAAUGAAAAAGGAGCACACAUGAACAUCAGAUAUUGGAUAUAUUGCACAGAACAAUGUGCAAUUCUGGCCACAUUAAUAUUUGGAAUUUUGAUCUCCAUUCUGGAAGAGCCUACCAUCUCCAGCAUCCCAUUUUGAUGGAAAGCAGAAACACAUCAAAUCACUACUGGAAACAGUAAAUGAUCAACGUAACCUGGUUUUUGUGGUACUGUGUUCCACAAGGAACCAGACUAUGGACAUUCUCCAAAUUGUUAAGUACUCAGUUCACUCUCUGUUUAUGAAACCAGAAAAUUGUUGAAAAAAUUCCAGCUGCAGCUAUUCAUUACAUUACAAAAGUAGAAAGUUUAUCAAGUUGAUUCCCUCAUAUGGCCAUCAAAUGCACUGUUUAUUCUUUUUUAAGUUGUACUUUUAAGUAAAAGAGGUUUUCUGCUUUUGUGUGGCUUUUUAACACUAUUACAGCUUCAGCCCUUUGGUGAUAACAAUUCUAGUACUUUUCAAAAGUCUGCUUAAGGUCAGUUUAUAGCUACAUGAUAUUUUGAUAGAUUUUAGAUCAACUACAAUUCUCAUAUGCUUGUCUUUUCCCUGGAUUAAUUAAACUACUACAUGGAGCUCAA